rnacentral:rRNA from 1 species
UUUUGGACAAUGGGGGCAACCCUGAUCCAGCCAUGCCGCGUGAGUGAAGAAGGCCUCCGGGUUGUAAAGCUCUUUCGGACGGAACGAAAUGGGCGGGACUAAUACUCCUGUCUGAUGACGGUACCGUAAGAAGAAGCACCAGCUAACUACGUGCCAGCAGCCGCGGUAAUACGUAGGGUGCGAGCGUUAAUCGGAAUUACUGGGCGUAAAGCGUGCGCAGGCGGUUUCGUAAGCUGGAGGUGAAAUCCCCGGGCUUAACCUGGGAAUGGCCUUCAGGACUGCGAGGCUAGAGUGCGGCAGAGGGAGGUGGAAUUCCACGUGUAGCAGUGAAAUGCGUAGAGAUGUGGAGGAACACCGAUGGCGAAGGCAGCCUCCUGGGCCAGCACUGACGCUCAUGCACGAAA